UUUUUUUUUUUUUUUUUUAUAUGUGCACCUAUUAAACUAUAGUUGGUAAUUAUUCCUACUUUGUCCUUAAUGCUAUGAUUUUUUGUUAGUUUAUUUAAUGUGCAUAACGUGGGCGAAAGUUAUAUGUGGCAUGUACAGGCACUACAUGCAUGCCUCAUGCUCUGCAGAAGUCAGAAAAGAGUGCCGGAUCUCCUGGAACUGGAGUUACAGACAUUUGUGAGCGGCCAUCUGGGUGCUGGGAGCCAAACCGGGAUCCUCUCCAAGAGCCACAAGUGCUCUUGACUACUGGGUUAUCUCUCCAGCACCCCCCAUUCUCACUCUUCAUGUUCCUGUCUGCACAGUAUAGAACUGGCUGAGACAGGCCAGUCUACCAGUUUGAAUGCACCCAUAUAUAUGUACAUAUAUGUAUGUACGUGUGGUAUGUAUGUACGUGUGGUGUAUGUGUGUGUGUGUGUGUGUGUGUGUGUCAUUUUGUAUGUAGGCAGAGAUCGAAACUGUAGAUCUGGCUGCCUCUGCCUCCCAAGGGCUGAAAAUGUAUACCACCAUGUUCAGACCCAAAUUAUAUUUCUUGGAGCGGAGGAGAAAGGUUGAAGACACACCCUCUUGCUGUUAAAAAAAAAAAAAAAGGCUUUAAGCCAGUGGUUCUCAACCUUCGUAAUGCUGCAACCCAUGAAUACAGUUCCUCGAGUUGUGGUGACCCCUGACCAUAACAUUAUUUUCAUUGCUACUUCAUAACUGUAAUUUUGCUACUGUUAUGAACUGUAAUUUAAGUAUCUGUUUUCCGAUGGUCACUUGAGACAGGUAGAGAGCUUCCAGUCACAUUUGUCUCUUAGCCAAACCUGAAGCCUCCUAUUCUUGGUUGUGUGUGUGUGUGUGUGUGUGUGUGUGUGUGUGUGUGUGUGUGUGUGUGUUAUCAUUGCUUUGUUUACAGAGUUGUGCUUGGUACCGAGUCAACUCUUCCUUCUUUUUGGAGUCUCAAGGGUCAGGAACCAUCCUUCCGUAGGCAUUCAUUCACACUUGGUUCAUACCUUCUAGGUAAGAAUGUUUUCUUAACUGGGGGACUUUAAUUAGGAACACUAAGCCAUGGUCUCUGUUAACUUGUCAACAAGAAGAAUCCCAGGCCACUCCCACUGCCGGUGCAGCACACUGAAAUGCCAAUGAUCUGGACCAUAGGGACCAAACGCCAUUGUUUCACAUUCAGGAAAAUCAAGUAUUUUCUGCAAUGGACCACAGACCACAGUAGUCUGUGUAAAGGUAUUUGUGGAAGCAUUUGUAGCCAGACCUUGGCUGAGGUUAACUAUUGUCUGGGGAGACUGCUUUCCCACCCAGAGGAAGAGGGGAACUGUGGGAACUAAGAUAUCUCAGGACAGUGAAUUUGAUCCUGUGAGGUUAUCUCUCUUCCUCAUUGUCUACUUUGGGUCAACCUUGGCUUAUGGGCCCUGGUUUCACACGUGAUCCAGCAGUGCAAGCUUCCCCAUACCACUGUCACUGGCUUCAACCCAGCCACAACUUGGGCUUGAUGACACAAUUUCUUCAAUAUACAAAUGAACUCAAGUCUUCCUGUUCUCUCACACACUCAUACAGAGCUAACACACACACACACACACCCCAAAACAAAAACAAAAAAAAAAUACCUUGUCAUAUCUAAAGGGUAGAAUGCUUUUUGAAGAAAUCCCAAUAAGAAACAAGUUUUCUAAGAGGUAUCAGAAAUCAAUUGUAAACAUUAUUGUGAAACUGAAUCGUGAUAGUCCAUGACAGACCAAACUGGUGGCUAGACUUAUGCAUCGGAAAUAAGUCAUGCGACCUCGUAAGAAUCAGUGAGAAUGUGACACAAGUUUAUAUAGGUUUUUCUUAAGUCAUAACUUAUUCAAAAGAGUUCCCAUGGGUGCUGAAAAGUACUUUCAGAAGAAGAAACGAUCAGGAGGGGAGGUAAGGAAACUGGGAAGGUUUUCUAGCACAAUGGGAGUGUAACCCAUGUUGAUGCCACUGGUGUCGCUAAAUGAAAAGACAAAAAGAUUGCUAGAUGCUUAGGGUUUAUUAUAUGUAGGAUAUAUAUGCUGGGGAAAAGUCUUACAAACGAAAUACAGGGUCUUCAAGGGUUAGGGUACAAAUGCUGGGAAAUACAAAGUCUUCAAGGGUAGGGUACAAAUGCUGGGAAAUACAGAGUCUUCAAAGGUUAGGGUAUACAUGCUGGGGGGGAAAGUCUCAAAAACGGAAUACAGAGUCUACAAAGGUUAGUGUAUAUAUGCUGAGGGGAAAAAAUCUCAAAAAUGAAAUACCAGAGUCUUCAAAGAUUAGGGUAUUCAUGCCGGGGGGGGGGAGUCUCAAAAACGGAAUACAGAGUCUUCAAAGGUUAGGGUAUAUAUGCUGGGGAAAAAGUCUCAAAAAUGAAAUACAGAGUCUUCAAAGGUUAGGGUAUAUAUGCUGGGGAAAAAAGUCUCAAAAAAUGGAAUACAGAGUCUUCAAAGGUUAGUGUAUAUAUGCUGGGGGAAAAAGUCUCAAAAAAAAAAAAAAAACAGAAUACAGAGUCUUCAAGGGUUAGGGUAUAUAUGCUGGGAAAAAAGUCUCAAAAAUGAAAUACAGAGUCUUCAAAGGUUAGGGUAUAUAUGCUGGGGGAAAAAGUCUCAAAAAUGAAAUACAGAGUCUUCAAAGGUUGGGGUAUAUAUGCUGAGGGGAAAAAGUCUCAAAAAUGGAAUACAGAGUCUUCAAAGGUUAGGGUAUAUAUGCUGGGAAAAAGUCUCAAAAAUGAAAUACAGAGUCUUCAAAGGUUAGGGUAUAUAUGCUGGGGGAAAAAAAUCUCAAAAACGGAAUACAGAGUCUUCGAAGGUUAGGGUAUAUAUGCUGAGGUAAAAAAAUCUCAAAAACGGAAUACAGAGUCUUCAAAGGUUAGGGUAUAUAUGCUGGGAAAAAGUCUCAAAAAUGGAAUACAGAGUCUUCAAGGGUUAGGGUAUAUAUGCUGAGGGAAAAAAAAUCUCAAAAACGGAAUACAGAGUCUUCAAGGGUUACGGUAUAUAUGCUGGGGAAAAAAGUCUCAAAAAUGAAAUACAGAGUCUUCAAGGGUUAGUGUAUAUAUGCUGGCGGAAAAGUCUCAAAAACAAAAUACAAAGCCUCCAAGGGUUAGGGUACAAAUGCUGGGGGGGGGGGGAGUCUCAAAAAUGGAGUCUUCAAAGGUUAGGGUAUGUAUACUAAGAAACACAGUCUCAAAAAUGAAAUACAGAGUCUUCAAAGGUUAGUGUAUAUAUGCUGGGAAAUACGUUCUCAAAAACGAAAUACAGUCUUCAAGGGUUAGGGUACAUAUGCUGGGGGGGGUCUCAAAAACAGAAUACAGAGUCUUCAAAGGUUAGUGUAUAUAUGCUGGGAAAUACAGUCUCAAAAAAGGAAAUACAGAGUCUUCAAGGGUUAGUGUAUAUAUGCUGGGAAAUACGUUCUCAAAAACGAAAUACAGUCUUCAAGGGUCGGGGUACAUAUGCUGGGGGGCGGGGGGAAAGUCUCAAAAACAGAAUACAGAGUCUCCAAAGGUUAGGGUAUACAUGCUGGGAAAUACAGUCUCAAAAAAGGAAA